UUCCUCUACUGCGCAAGACCGCACUGUGCAGUACAUUACGUGACGUCAUAGUAGCAGCUGUGCGUUUUUUCAAAUUUUGACAAAUUUAAAUUAUAUUUAUUCUAUGUUAAUUGACACUUAAAGGCUUGCAAUUUUACCUUGUUCUUGAAAUUUAUUUAAAAGACAUCACGUCAUCAAUUAUCAUGUCGGUGGUUUCGAUUCCAGAUCCAAUGGUCACUGGUGAUUGAAGAUAUGAAGUCAAAGACACCUCCAAGGCGUUUGGAAAUGUCGUUGGAGCCUUUUUGACUCUAUUUGAAAAUUGAACUCAGGACUUCGAAUUCUUGUGCCAUGGAGAAUUCUACGGUGCCCUUUGGACAGAUUCCUUUACUCCAUGUCGUCCAAAAUUUGAGUGCCUUAAUGCAGAUCAAACGACCCUUUUUGUGAUUCUACAACAUGAACAAAAGUUCAAAUUCGAUUUGUUUAAUACGAGAACUUUCAAAAAUUAGGAUUUUAAGCCAUUUUUAGAGGUCCCGGAUUGGACACCGUUUGGAAAAAUGGGAUGCGAUUUAUCUUGGGAUCAUGUCAGUUUUGCGCUGUUUAUUCCAAUGGUAGCGUUACUUUUUAUACUGUGUCUGAUGGAAAGGCAGAUUUGUGCACUUUGCCAGUAGCUGAAGGUAUUAGAUAUGUAUCUUAAUCACGCAAGGGCAUGAAACUUGUCACUGGUAACGACAAUAUUUCAAUUCGAGACACUAAUUGAAAAAUUAAAUGGAAUACCCGUAAAAGAGAAUAUUUUUAACAAACUGGAUAGUUCCUUGAACAAUGAUCGACGAAAUUUCAGAUAAGCAGGAGAAAUCUGUGUUCUCUCUUCGCCAUCAAAGUGCUUCCUCCAAGAAUAAGGAUAAUUUGUCUUUUCCGCUUAAAUCAUUCUCGCCGUAAAGAAUUGCCUUUAAAAAUAUCUGUAAAAGUUAGGAAAACUUAAC
rnacentral:lncRNA from 1 species